ensembl:snoRNA SNORD26 Small nucleolar RNA SNORD26
CUACAGUGAUGAUCUCUGAACUCUCUCUUACUGAAUCAGCCUUGAAGAUACUUCUUUACCAGAUUCUGAGUUGC